CAGCAGGGGAGGCUGUGGGCUUCCCUCCAGCACCGACAGAACGCUGGGUGCGAAGCCGCUCGGAUGAGGGAUGGUACAACAUCUCCAGCUGUACUGAUGUUCGAGAAUUCUCCCAGGAAUUCUUUUCGCGAUACAUGUCCAGGCACUGGUCUCCAGGGCUUUGUGGGGCCAUUUGUUCCCUGGUCUUCUGGAAGUCUGAGGGUUGUGCAAUUGGCCCAUGCUCCUGUUGGCUUGUUCUUCCAUCAGUGGCUUCACCCCCUUGCUUGCAGAUAAGAGUGGCCAUGUCUAAGUCUGACCAAGGAGAUGUAAGAGGAGGUUUCCAGACUGUCUCCUGGCAGGUAGCCUUUGCCCUCUGGCCUUUGUCCUCCCCUCCUUCCUGGAGAGAACAAGGACCACGGCAGUGGCUCGGCCACCUUGUGCUAUGCUAUCACCUGGACAACUACCCCUGGACAACCUCGAGUUAGCCUCCCCCCUCAGUCUUCGAGGACCGGCACUCCCCCAUCCAUCCUGUUCUGGAGUGGCUGAACGACUACUUGCUUCGACCACCUGGGCAGCCUGUGAUGUUCUGGGACCUCCGUGCCCAUUCGAGUGAAGUUGUAGGACCCCCUGGGGCCUCUUCUGCACCUUGUGAGUGAGCUGUGGAGCUGCCCGGGGACGGUGCUCAGGCCCCCAGGGUCUCCUGUCUGCACCCCGGCAGCUCAGGCAGGGCAGCGGGACUCAGCUGCAAGUCUGCAGAAAUCUCAAGCACAUCCAACCUCCUGUUGGGAGAGAAAAAAAGAAUGAGGGAAAGUAAGGAGGGGAGAAGUCUGUCGAAGUUUGCCCUCCGCCUCCCAUCCAUCGGCCGCGUCAGACAGCUGACAACCUGGCUGCUCCCAAGCUUCAGAGCCAUCUCUCUGCUGUGAAAGGCUGGUCGCAGACCUGGUCUGGAGUUUUCACCCUUCAAGCCAUUAUCUGCUGUGUCAGCAGAGCCGUCGGUUGCAUUCAUAUUCACCACUUUGUUCCCAAGUCUAAUCUGGAAGAUACAAAACACAGAAGUGCCAGGAAUCCGCAAUUAGGCUCGCUGUGCAGCCAUCCUCCCGUGACACAGCUGUUGAUGGAAGCGAAGACCAUCCACGCGGAAACACCAUUGUCCAUUGUCAGUGCCCGUCAGUGCCUCUUUGCGUACUUGUCCCUCUGUGACCACACAGCUGGCCUCUUCCCACCCCUCUAAUGCCCACAGUGAAUCCAGAUCCAAACAAGCAACUUCCUCAGAACAACAGUGAGCCAACCCAACAUGAUGAGCAGGUAACCGGUACCCACGGAGCAUCUCGUCAGGAGGAGGAAAGAGGGCUCGUCUUGUGCACCACACAGCAAAGGCCGUGCUCUCCCCCACCCUCCCUGCCCUCUCUCGGCUCCUCACCGCACUCCUCUUCACCCUCGCAGAUUCUAGGAUCGCCUCUACCGUCCAGAGCUGUUUAGUCCCACGAUGACACAGGCAUGUGCUUAACUUGCCGUCUAAGAUCACGGGCAGCCCGGCCAUCUACCUGGUCCCUGGAGAUGCUCCUGUCUCCCAGGCAGCUCUCUGAUGUAUCCACAUGACGAUAGGAAGAGGGACAGGAAGGUGGGGGGGUGUACCGUGAGCAGCCGUCAGACCUGAUCUGCUCCACGACACAUGCAUGGGCACUGCCCCCCGCCUUCAGUCCCCGUAUUGUCCUGCAGGCCCCACUUGCUGCAUCUUUCCCACACACAAGAAAAUAGGCCAAAAAGGGUUUUGGAUAGUUAUCUUAUUUUAUUCCCUUUUUGUUUGUGUCUCUCUGCUGCCCUUGCCCCUCAGCUGUCCCCUAUCUCAAUCUGACGCACACAGUUUCCGUCUGUCCUCAUUUCUUCUCUUCCUUCGGAAAACAUCCAAGAUAAGGUCCCCUGUGACUUGUCUGGCAAUUUUGUCCUCGGCCAACCCAGCUUCAGCCCACGGGCUGCAGAGUCUUUUCUCCCCGGCAAACGAGAGCUCCUAAGAUCUCACCGCAGCACCUGGGAGGUGCUGCGUCACUACACGUUGGGACAAAGCAGAUGCCGAAAUAAAGGGAGUCCCGGGCUCCGUGCAGCAGGGUCAUCCACAGACCUGCCGCCUCCAGCUGCUAGCCCACAGGACAGGUCACAAGGAGGACGGGCCGCGCCGUCAUCGCCGGUCCCGAGCCACGAGAGGGGAGACGGGCAGGAGACGCUUCAUCGCCCCCGAGCCCUGCCCAGGGUGGGCCACGGAUGGAGGCCUCCCUCCAGGAGCUGAAGUUCCUUUAAAAACGACAAGCAUUGCUGCCCCUCUCUGAGCCCCGGAGCCUGCCAAGCGCAGAGGGUUAUCUCAGACGUGGGCUGGGGCACCGAGAGCGCUGUUCCACCCGGAAUCGGUUCUCAACACCCUCAAGCCACCAAGACACAAGCAGACGGCAUGUACUCUCACCAGGAGGACGCCGUCCCCACGAGCUGCUCCUGACAAACGUCUGAGCCUGGAGGACUAAGCUGCUAAUUCUCAGGAAACAUCGGACAGAGGGACGGGAUAAGUGAGGUCUGGAGGCAAAGUCUAGAAGAAGCGGGACUCAGACAGAGAAAACCUCGAGAGGACGGGCGAACUGUGACUAGACUGACAACACGCAGAGAGCGAGCGAGAGUGACCUUCCGAUGCGCCGGAGAAGAACCCCGUCUAGAUUUUGACUCAACAAACUGGGAAAGUGCCACUCACGAGACAACUGGGGAAAUCUGAACACUGACUACAUAUAGGUGGUUUUAAGGAAUUUUAAUGAAGUGUUUUAGGUGGG
rnacentral:lncRNA from 1 species